rnacentral:rRNA from 1 species
AUUGAACGCUAGCGGGAUGCCUUACACAUGCAAGUCGAACGGAGUGGCGCACGGGUGAGUAAUGUAUCGGAACGUGCCCAGUAGCGGGGGAUCACUACGCGAAAGCGUAGCUAAUACCGCAUACUAUUGGAGCGGCCGAUAUCGGAUUAGCUAGAUGGUGGGGUAACGGCUCACCAAGGCGACGAGCCGUAGCUGGGUUGAGAGGACGACCAGCCACAAUGGGAUUGAGAAACGGCCCAGAAUCCUACGGGAGGCAGCAGUGGGGAAUUUUGGACAAUGGGGGAAACCCUGCUCCAGCAAUCCCGCGUGGGCGAGGAAGGCCUGCGGGGUGUAAAGCACUUUUGGCAGGAAAGCGGUACCUGCAGAAUAAGCACCGGCUAACUACGUGUCAGCAGCCGCGGUAAUAC